rnacentral:rRNA from 1 species
UGGCGGACGGGUGGGUAAUGUCUGGGAAACUGCCUGAUGGAGGGGGAUAACUACUGGAAACGGUAGCUAAUACCGCAUAACGUCGCAAGACCAAAGAGGGGGACCUUCGGGCCUCUUGCCAUCGGAUGUGCCCAGAUGGGAUUAGCUAGUAGGUGGGGUAAUGGCUCACCUAGGCGACGAUCCCUAGCUGGUCUGAGAGGAUGACCAGCCACACUGGAACUGAGACACGGUCCAG